CGAACGCUGGCGGCAUGCCUAACACAUGCAAGUCGAACGAGACCUUCGGGUCUCGUGGCGCACGGGUGCGUAACGCGUGGGAAUCUACCCUCAGGUUCGGAAUAACUCAGAGAAAUUUGAGCUAAUACCGGAUGAUGACGUAAGUCCAAAGAUUUAUCGCCUGAGGAUGAGCCCGCGUAGGAUUAGGUAGUUGGUGAGGUAAAGGCUCACCAAGCCGACGAUCCUUAGCUGGUCUGAGAGGAUGAUCAGCCACACUGGGACUGAGACACGGCCCAGACUCCUACGGGAGGCAGCAGUGGGGAAUAUUGGACAAUGGGCGAAAGCCUGAUCCAGCAAUGCCGCGUGAGUGAUGAAGGCCUUAGGGUUGUAAAGCUCUUUUACCCGGGAUGAUAAUGACAGUACCGGGAGAAUAAGCUCCGGCUAACUCCGUG
rnacentral:rRNA from 1 species